rnacentral:rRNA from 1 species
GAUGAACGUUGGCGGCGUGCCUAAUACAUGCAAGUCGAGCGAACGGACGAGAAGCUUGCUUCUCUGAUGUUAGCGGCGGACGGGUGAGUAACACGUGGAUAACCUACCUAUAAGACUGGGAUAACUUCGGGAAACCGGAGCUAAUACCGGAUAAUAUUUUGAACCGCAUGGUUCAAAAGUGAAAGACGGUCUUGCUGUCACUUAUAGAUGGAUCCGCGCUGCAUUAGCUAGUUGGUAAGGUAACGGCUUACCAAGGCAACGAUGCAUAGCCGACCUGAGAGGGUGAUCGGCCACACUGGAACUGAGACACGGUCCAGACUCCUACGGGAGGCAGCAGUAGGGAAUCUUCCGCAAUGGGCGAAAGCCUGACGGAGCAACGCCGCGUGAGUGAUGAAGGUCUUCGGAUCGUAAAACUCUGUUAUUAGGGAAGAACAUAUGUGUAAGUAACUGUGCACAUCUUGACGGUACCUAAUCAGAAAGCCACGGCGAACUACGU